GGUUAUGAAUAAAAUAAUUUCAAAUCAGAAGAUAAUAAAAUGUAAGCGACAGCCACCUAAUUUAAAACGUCUGUUAACCAAAUCUUACUUUUCAUCUCAAGAACCAAGAGUAUCCAAAUGUAAUGACCCUAGAUGCGCCCUGUGUGGUUAUAUUAUUGAAGGGAAUUCUUUUGAUUUUAAUGGCAAAAUGUUCAAAAUAAAAACUAAUAUGUCAUGUGAUAUACAAAAUGUGAUUUAUGUAUUAGUAUGCAAUGGAUGCAAACAAUAUUAUAUAGGCCAAACUGGCGAUAAACUUAGAAAUAGGCGAUCUGUCCAUGAACAACAAAUGCGAGACCCCUCAACAAGACAGAUGCCUUUAAGUAAACAUUUAGAUGAAUGUUCACAUAAUGAACCAAAAUUUAAAAUAUUUCCAUUUUAUAAGCUAUUUUCGAACAAUAUUUCAGCUAGGUUAGCAAAAGAACAACAUUUUAUACAUGUAUUUAAACCCAAAUUAAAUUUCAUUUAAUAUUUAUUGACGUUAUGACGUCAUAAUUGAUAUGACGUUAUCUCCAUGACAUUUUGACGUUGUAAUAUAUUGUAUUAUGCCCUGAUGAGCUAUGCGAAACGCGUUGGCUAAAUCAAUAUAUAUUUAAAAUCCCAGACACGUGUUUUUACUUUUAUUAUAUAAUAUUCACAAUCUGGAUUAUUACAUUUUACUUAUAUAACUAUAUAUAUAUAUAUAUAUAUAUAUAUAUAUAUAUAUAUAUAUAUAGUUUCAGAUUGGGUAAAAUGGUGGGUCAAACGUCCAUUUUACGGCCGUAUUGUUGGGUCUUUAGUCGAUUGUCGGGUCCCAAAGUCGAUUAUCGGGCACUUGGACCCGACAGUUGAAGACCCACUUAAAAAAAGGCUGCUUAACAUACUCAUGACUAUUUUUAAAUUCAAAUUUGCAUAUGUAAUUUUACUCGAAUUGUCGGGCCUAUAUCUCCCAUUAGCAAACAUUAGGUCAAACUCCACACAGCAGUUACAUCCCUUGGGCAUUCGCCAAUCAUUAAUGUCUUUUUCUAGAAUAAGGGAGGCCACUGCGUAUGAGAUUGACCAACCUCGGCGCAGUGAUUUACCGGGAACCAGCAUAGCAACGAACGACAACUCUGUAAUAAAAAUUGCCAAUUUUCGCGGUUAAACUUAAAAAGAGUCCAUGUCAACUGCUGACAGUGAAGAGCCAGGCAGUCUGACCCAUGAUAGGAGGGAGCCAAGUGAAGAGCCAGCCAGUCUGACCCAUGAUAGGAGGGAGCCAAGUGAAGAGCCAGCCAGUCUGACCCAUGAUUAUUGACAUGACUCAUGGUGAACUAAAAUUGCUUGCAAAGCAUCUGGGACAUGAUGUGAAGACCCACAAGGAAUAUUAUCAGUUGUCUUCCAGUACCAUGGAACUCUCAAAGGUUGCCCUGAUGUUGUAUGCUGUUGAAAAUGGUUAGUCAAUGAGUGGAAGGGAAGGCAGAUGAAGGACAU